GACGAACGCUGGCGGCGUGCCUAAUACAUGCAAGUCGAGCGAGCGGCGGACGGGUGAGUAAUGUCUGGGAAACUGCCUGAUGGAGGGGGAUAACUACUGGAAACGGUAGCUAAUACCGCAUACCAUCAGAUGUGCCCAGAUGGGGUUAGCUAGUAGGUGGGGUAACGGCUCACCUAGGCGACGAUCCCUAGCUGGUCUGAGAGGAUGACCAGCCACACUGGAACUGGGACACGGGCCAGAAUCCUACGGGAGGCAGCAGUGGGGAAUAGUGCACAAUGGGCGCAAGCCUGAUGCAGCCAUGCCGCGUGUAUGAAGAAGGCCUUCGGGUUGUAAAGUACUUUCAGCGAGGAGGCGUUACUCGCAGAAGAAGCACCGGCUAACUCCGUGCCAGCAGCCGCGGUAAUAC
rnacentral:rRNA from 1 species